rnacentral:rRNA from 1 species
AUUGAACGCUGGCGGCAGGCCUAACACAUGCAAGUCGAACGGCAACAGGAAGAGGCUUGCCUCUUUGCUGUCGCGUGGGGCAGGGGUGUGUAAUGUCCGUGAAACUGCAUUAUGGCGGGGGUUAAAUCGUGGAAACGGUAGCUAUAACAGCACAUAGUAGCAACAGCAAAGAGCAGGAGAUCCGGGCAUCUUGCCAUCGUCUGUGCCCCGAUGGGAUUAGCGAGUUGGUGGGGUAACGGCUCACCAAGGCGACGAUCCGUAGCUGGUCUGAGAGGAUGACCAGCCACACUGGAACUGAGACACGGUCCAGACUCCUACGGGAGGCAGCAGUGGGGAAUAUUGCACAAUGGGCGCAAGCCUGAUGCAGCUAUGCCGCGUGUGUGAAGAAGGCCUUCGGGUUGUAAAGCCCUUUUAUUGGGGAAGAAAAGAGGAAGGUUAAUACCUUGACGUAUUGACGUUACCCAAAGAAAAAGCACCGGCUAACUCCGUG